CUAUGUGAUGUGAAGAUUUUAAGCAUUGAACCUGAUCGGCUCGAUGUUUGAUACUUCUGUUGUAAUGUUUAGAAUCUUUCCGGGGNUUUUCACAUUC
rnacentral:pre_miRNA from 1 species